rnacentral:sRNA from 1 species
GAGCUGUACGUGAAGCCGGGUGAGCGCAACCGGCGGGUUAGGGCACUAGGUCGUCGCCCCGGCCUAGGCUGGGGGCGGUUGCGGCGCGGAGUAUGGACCCUCUGUCUCCCCCAGCCCCAAUAUAAGAUAACAGUGGAGUUCCGGGCUCGCUUCACACAUCCCUCGCCUCCGCAGGCAACAAGGAGCGCGGCUGGAACGACCCGCCGCAGUUCUCAUACGGGCUGCAGACCCAGGCCGGCGGACCCAGGCGCUCGCUGCUUACCAAGAGGGUUGCCGCACCCCAGGAUGGAUUCCCCAGAGUCCCCGCAUCAGAGACUUCUCCUGGGCCUCCCUCAAUGGGGCCUCCACCUCCUUCAAGUAAGGCUCCCAGGUCUCCACCUGUGGGGAGUGGUCCUGCCUCUGGCGUGGAGCCCACAAGUUUCCCAGUCGAGUCUGAGGCUGUGAUGGAGGAUGUGCUGAGACCUUUGGAACAAGCAUUGGAAGACUGCCGUGGCCACACAAGGGUAAGCCCUGGCACAUCAGAGGUUAGAGAGGGCUCCCAUCCACAGCCAAAUGCAGGAAUGGUUCCCAGAGAUAGACCCUCUGACCCAAUGGACAGGUUCUUAAUCCUUUGAGAGUUAGGGACUCCUUCAGAAUCGCUAAGGCCUUCCCAGAGAAAUGAACACAGGAUUUCAGGAGCAUUAACAAGACUUUUGAAGACCAAUCAGUAGAAGAUGCUGUGGGAACAAGAGUUGAAUUCAGCUCCUAUUAGUGAACAACCUGAUUUUCUGUACCUCCAUGCCAUUCAGAGCAGAAGCUGCUGAUUUUAUUCUCAGGAAAUUUAUAUUGUGCCCAGUUAGGGAAAAGAAACCUCUUCUAGCUAUAGUGUUUUCUUAGUUCUUAGAAAAAGAGAUCUGAAGAAUGUCUUAAAAGAAAGGGAAAGUAGCAUGGUCAUUUCAUCUCUUUGGCGCUUAGUUUUCUUUUUGUGAAGUAACGCUACAGGAUGAGCUUCUGAGAGUCUGAGAAGCCCCUGAAAUUUUAAAAUUCUAGUCAUAGGAGGAGGUGGGUUAGAAGACUGGUGGUGGGAAGAUGAGAGAAUUCCUGUUUAAUGACCUCUACUUUUCAAUGAAACAUCAGGCAGUGUCAGAAGACAGCAGGGAAAGGAAGGUUUCAUCAGUUUCUCAGUGGGGCCUCUAAUCUUUGGGUAAAGAACCAGAACUCUAAAGUGUGGGCCAGAGAAAGCAGGUGCUUCCUAUGUGGUGCUGUCUUCCCCUCUCCUCCCCUCAUUGGGCUGACAGCACUGAAUCGGAGGGGGGCUUCUGUCUCUUAGAAGCAGGUAUGUGAUGACAUCAGCCGACGCCUGGCACUGCUGCAGGAACAGUGGGCUGGAGGAAAGUUGUCAAUACCUGUAAAGAAGAGAAUGGCUCUGCUGGUGCAAGAGCUUUCAAGCCACCAGUGGGACGCAGCAGAUGACAUCCACCGCUCCCUCAUGGUUGACCAUGUGACUGAGGUCAGUCAGUGGAUGGUAGGAGUUAAAAGAUUAAUUGCAGAAAAGAGGAGUCUGUUUUCAGAGGAGGCAGCCAAUGAAGAGAAAUCUGCAGCCACAGCUGAGAAGAACCGUACCAUACCAGGCUUCCAGCAGGCUCCAUAGUCCUCGGUUCCCCAGACUAACCGGACACCAUCUCCUAUGCCUUGGAGGCCUUCUCUCACUUGGCUCCCUUCUUACCACCACCAAGACUGUCCCACUGGGCCUGACCCACCUAUGAGGGAAGAAGUCCCACCUGGGCCAGAGGGAGUUCAUGUGUUACUCAUAACAU